GCAGCAGCCGCGGUAAUACGGAGGAUGCAAGCGUUAUCCGGAAUGAUUGGGCGUAAAGCGUCCGCAGGUGGCUAUGUAAGUCUGCUGUUAAAGAGUCUAGCUCAACUAGAUAAGGGCGGUAGAAACUACAUGGCUAGAGUGCGUUAGGGGCAGAGGGAAUUCCUGGUGUAGCGGUGAAAUGCGUAGAGAUCAGGAAGAACACCGGUGGCGAAAGCGCUCUGCUAUGCCGCAACUGACACUGAGGGACGAAAGCUAGGGGAGCGAAUGGGAUUAGAUACCCCAGUAGUCCUAGCCGUAAACGAUGGAUACUAGGCGUGGCUUGUAUCGACCCGAGCCGUGCCGUAGCUAACGCGUUAAGUAUCCCGCCUGGGGAGUACGCACGCAAGUGUGAAACUCAAAGGAAUUGACGGGGGCCCGCACA
rnacentral:rRNA from 1 species